CCUACGGGCGGCAGCAGUGAGGAAUAUUGGUCAAUGGCCGGAAGGCUGAACCAGCCAUGCCGCGUGAAGGUCAGUGCCCUAUGGGCGUUAAACUUCUUUUGUGCGGGAGCAAUAAUGGUCACGUGUGGCCAGACGAGAGUACCGUACGAAUAAGCAUCGGCUAACUCCGUGCCAGCAGCCGCGGUAAUACGGGGGAUGCAAGCGUUAUCCGGAUUUAUUGGGGUUAAAGGGUGCGUAGGCUGUGAGGUAAGUCAGCGGUGAAAUGCCCCCGCUCACCGGGGUGAAGUGCCAUUGAUACUGCCUUGCUGGAAUGCGGAUGCCGUGGGAGGAAUGUGUGGUGUAGCGGUGAAAUGCAUAGAUAUCACACAGAACACCGAUUGCGAAGGCAUCUCACGAAGCCGCGAUUGACGCUAAUGCACGAAAGCGUGGGUAUCAAACAGGAUUAGAUACCCCUGUAGUC
rnacentral:rRNA from 1 species